rnacentral:ncRNA from 1 species
AUAAACCCGAUGCAGGGGUAAAGUAACCAGUGGUGGUCCUGACAGAGAGCCGGUGUUUGGUGUGAACCGGCAGGGCGGCUGGCGAAAGAGCUCCCCGGAGGGGGCCGGCUGAAAGCAGCAGUAGGCAGGCACGGGCAGUCCCGUUAUCACGUUCAAGCGGGCAGGCGCAUGGGUUAACAACGCGCCUGUCAAAAAAGGGUGGCACCGCGGGAGUAAACCUCUCGUCCCUGCU